GAUGAACGCUGGCGGCGUGCCUAAUACAUGCAAGUCGAGCGAACAGACGAGGAGCUUGCUCCUCUGACGUUAGCGGCGGACGGGUGAGUAACACGUGGAUAACCUACCUAUAAGACUGGGAUAACUUCGGGAAACCGGAGCUAAUACCGGAUAAUAUAUUGAACCGCAUGGUUCAAUAGUGAAAGACGGUUUUGCUGUCACUUAUAGAUGGAUCCGCGCCGCAUUAGCUAGUUGGUAAGGUAACGGCUUACCAAGGCAACGAUGCGUAGCCGACCUGAGAGGAUGAUCGGCCACACUGGAACUGAGACACGGUCCAGACUCCUACGGGAGGCAGCAGUAGGGAAUCUUCCGCAAUGGGCGAAAGCCUGACGGAGCAACGUCGCGUGAGUGAUGAAGGUCUUCGGAUCGUAAAACUCUGUUAUUAGGGAAGAACAAAUGUGUAAGUAACUAUGCACGUCUUGACGGUACCUAAUCAGAAAGCCACGGCUAACUACGUG
rnacentral:rRNA from 1 species